GCGUCUACCGAUUGAAUGGAGAGGUAAAAUCUCCGGACUAUGACGCGUUGGGGUCAAACCUAAUGCAGUCGUGGGAAGUGGAUUAAACCUUUCCAUUUAGAGGAAGAUGAAGUCGUAACAAGGUUUCCGUAGGUGAACCUGCAGAAGGAUCAGCUACUACCGAAUGAAUGGUUUAGUGAGGACUCCUGAUUGGCGCCGCCGCCCCGGCAACGGAGCAGCGGACUGCCGAAAAGUUGUUCAAACUUGAUCAUUUAGAGGAAGUAAAAGUCGUGACAAGGUUUCCGUAGGUGAACCUGCAGAAGGAUCA
rnacentral:misc_RNA from 1 species